rnacentral:rRNA from 1 species
AACUUCUGAAUGUUGACCUCGGAUCAGGUAGGAAUA